rnacentral:rRNA from 1 species
GAUGAACGCUGGCGGCUUGCCUAAUACAUGCAAGUCGAGCGAACAGACGAGGAGCUUGCUCCUCUGACGUUAGCGGCGGACGGGUGAGUAACACGUGGAUAACCUACCUAUAAGACUGGGAUAACUUCGGGAAACCGGAGCUAAUACCGGAUAAUAUAUUGAACCGCAUGGUUCAAUAGUGAAAGACGGUUUUGCUGUCACUUAUAGAUGGAUCCGCGCCGCAUUAGCUAGUUGGUAAGGUAACGGCUUACCAAGGCGACGAUGCGUAGCCGACCUGAGAGGGUGAUCGGCCACACUGGAACUGAGACACGGUCCAGACUCCUACGGGAGGCAGCAGUAGGGAAUCUUCCGCAAUGGGCGAAAGCUUGACGGAGCAACGCCGCGUGAGUGAUGAAGGUCUUCGGAUCGUAAAACUCUGUUAUUAGGGAAGAACAAAUGUGUAAGUAACUAUGCACGUCUUGACGGUACCUAAUCAGAAAGCCACGGCUAACUACGUG